rnacentral:rRNA from 1 species
GGGUCUUUAAGAUUCAGAGACUAAGCGAAAGUGAUAAGUUAGCCACNUGGGGAGUACGUUCGCCAAGAAUGAAACUCAAAGGAAUUGACCGGGGGCCCGCACAAGCGGUGGAUUAUGUGGUUUAAUUCGAUGAUACGCGAGGAACCUUACCAAGGCUUAAAUGGGAAAUGACAGGUUUAGAAAUAGACUUUUCUUCGGACAUUUUUCCAAGGUGCUGCAUGGUUGUCGUCAGCUCGUGCCGUGAGGUGUUAGGUUAAGUCCUGCAACGAGCGCAACCCCCUGUCACUAGUUGCCAUCAUUAAGUUGGGGACUCUAGUGAGACUGCCUACGCAAGUAGAGAGGAAGGUGGGGAUGACGUCAAAUCAUCACGGCCCUUACGCCUUGGGCCACACACGUAAUACAAUGGCCAGUANCAGAGGGCAGCUACACAGCGAUGUGAUGCAAAUCUCGAAAGCUGGUCUCAGUUCGGAUUGGAGUCUGCAACUCGACUCUAUGAAGCUGGAAUCGCUAGUAAUCGCGCAUCAGCCAUGGCGCGGUGAAUACGUUCCCGGGCCUUGUACACACCGCCCGUCAAGNCCAUGGAAGUCUGGGGUACCUGAAGUCGGUGACCGUAAUAGGAGCUGCCUAGGGUAAAACAGGUAACUAGGGCUAAGUCGUAANCAAGGUACC